rnacentral:rRNA from 1 species
UGAGUACGAGAUGCUACGGCAUCGAAGCAGUCUAUGUCAUACUUCCAAGAAAAGCUUGCACUGUCAUAAACAAAGAAUGCCUGUACCAUAACCGACACAGGUGGGUAGGUAGAGUAUACUAAGGGGCGCGAGAUAACUCUCUCUAAGGAACUCGGCAAAAUGACUCCGUAACUUCGGGAGAAGGAGUGCCUUAUUUCUAAGGUUGCAAUAACAAGAUCCAAGCAACUGUUUACCAAAAACACAGGUCUCCGCUAAGUCGUAAGACGAUGUAUGGGGGCUGACGCCUGCCCAGUGCCAGAAGGUUAAAGAAGUUGGUUAGCAUUAGCGAAGCUGAUAACUGAAGCCCUGGUGAACGGCGGCCGUAACAAUAACGGUCCUAAGGUAGCGAAAUUCCUUGUCGGGUAAGUUCCGACCCGCACGAAAGGCGUAAUGAUUUGGAUACUGUCUCGGAGAGGGGCUCGGUGAAAUAGACUUGUCUGUGAAGAUGCGGACUACCUGCACCUGGACAGAAAGACCCUAUGAAGCUUUACUGUAACUUGAGAUUGAAAUUGGACUUUAUUUGCGCAGUAUAGGUGGGAGGCGUUGAGAAUAAUCUUGCGGGAUUGUUGGAGCCAUCAGUGAGAUACCACUCUUGUAAUGUUAGAUUUCUAACUUUGUAUCAUUAUCUGGUCAAAGAACAGUUUCAGGCGGGCAGUUUGACUGGGGCGGUCGCCUCCCAAAGGGUAACGGAGGCGCUCAAAGGUUUCCUCUGAACGGGUAGAAAUCGUAUCUAGAGUGUAAAGGCAUAAGGAAGCUUGACUGUGAGACCUACAAGUCGAGCAGGGACGAAAGUCGGUCUUAGUGAUCUGACGGUGCUGAGUGGAAAGGCCGUCACUCAACGGAUAAAAGUUACUCUAGGAUAACAGGCUGAUCUCCCCCAAGAGUUCUCAUCGACGGGGAGGUUUGGCACCUCGAUGUCGGCUCAUCGCAUCCUGGGGCGGUAGUCCGUCCCAAGGGUUGGGCUGUUCGCCCAUGAAAGCGGUACGCGAGCUGGGUUCAGAACGUCGUGAGACAGUUCGGUCCAUAUCCGGUGUAGGCGUUAGAAUAUUGAGAGGAGCCUUCUCUAGUACGAGAGGACCGAGAAGGACAUACCUCUGGUGUACCAGUUAUCGUGCCAACGGUAAACGCUGGGUAGCUAUGUAUGGAGUGGAUAACCGCUGAAAGCAUCUAAGUGGGAAGCCCACCUCAAGAUAAGUAUUCAC